CUUAUUUCCGGUGUUCUGUCGAAACGGCCCCUCCGAGAAAACGCUUCUGAGAACGAUGUAGCUAGUCUAAAUAUUUCAUUUGCGCUAUACGGUAUAAUUUAUAGUGGAACCAUGGAUCCUAAGAUUUUACUAAACAACCCUACUCAUCCAGCGAGGAGGUCGGGUCGACAAAACAAUCGACGAAUGUUUUGUCAAACAGGUUAUGCUUGCCCAUACCAUAACCCCACCAUUCCCCAUGGAGCAGUCUGUUCACAACGUUGACAUCAGCAAAUCCACUCACCCACACGACACCAUUAACACUGUCUUCCCAGUACAAUUGAAACUGGGAUUCAUCAGUGAAAAGCACACUUGUCCAGCAGGCCAGGAAGGUGAGCAUUUGCCCACUGAAGUCGGUUAAGAUGCUGAUCGGCAGUCAGGUCAAGACCCUGCAGUUACUGUAAAGUUGACACCCACAGAUCCGCUGAAGAGGAGGAGGGAAGAGAACAAGAUCCCAUCCUCACGUGUCGAUGGCCAAAGCAGAGUUGCAAAGAAAAAGCCAUAUCUCAGACUGGCCAAUAAAAAUAAAAGAUUAAGAUGGGCAAAAGAACACAGACACUGGACAGAGGAACUCUGCCUAGAAGGCCAGCAUCCCGGAGUCACCUCUUCGCUGUUGACGUUGAGACUGGUGUUUUGCGGGUACUACUUAAUGAAGCUGCCAGUUGAAGAUUUGUGAGGCGUCUGUUUCUCAAACUAGACACUAAUGUACUUGUCCUCUUGCUCAGUUGUGUACCGGGGCCUCAUUCCUCUUUAUAUACUGGUCAGGGCCAGUUUGCACUGUUCUGUGAAAGGAUUAGUACACAGGGUUGUUCGAGAUCUUCAGUAUCUUGGCAAUUUCUCAGAACAAUAAUAGACUGACAAGUUUCAGAAGAAAGUUAUUUGUUUCUGGCCAUUUUGAGACUGUAAUUGAACUCACAAAUGCUGAUGCUCCAGAUACAAUGCAAAUUAUUUAUUUGAAAAUCAUACAAUGUGAUUUUCUGAAUUUUUGUUUUAGAUUCCGUCUCUCACAGUUGAAGUGUACCUAUGAUAAAAAUGACAGACCUCUACAUGCUUCAUAAGUAGGAAACACUGCCUAUUUUGCAGGUUAUCAAAUACUUGUUCUCCCCACUGCACAUAUUUAUUACAAAAAUAUAUCUGUCCUUCACUGAGAGAAGGGGUCAGAGGUUAUAUUAGUGUCCGCACCAUAGACCGUAUUGAAAACGGGAAACAAGCGUUUCCCAGAAAUGACUUUAGUCUGGAAUGUUCUUUGUUAAGAACUUCCCCUAACCUCUGUGUAGUGUGUUGAUUAACUACCCAGGAGACUUUCUAUCUUACAGUCACACCCUCACACCCUGAUAUAACCCCCCCCCUCCCUCCUGUCUCUUCCUUGCAGGACAUAGAUCAGUCUUGAUAUGCUUGACAGAGGGGAUCUCCAGCUUUCCUUCUCAGUAAGGCUGUUUCCCUGUUGAUUAGUUUGUUGAAUUAAUGAAUUAAUGUCAUGAUAGACUCAUAUUAAAUCUACUCAUUUACCUCAGAUCUCAAAAGAGUGUUUUAGUUGUUUUGUCUGACCAUGAAACAAGCCAAACAGAUAUUUUUUGCAUUACACAUUUUCCUGUUAAUUAAAAUUAGGCCAGACAAAUAAAAUGUAUAUUAUUUCCAUAUUUUUAUACUUAGAAUAUGAAAAGUGCUAAUCUGUGACAUCUGAAAGGUUAUCAUUUGUAGACAAAAGUUUUAACUAUUAUUUAUUUUUUACUAAAUUGCCAAAAAGUUGAACAAAAUCACAGCCAUUGUUGUUCUGUUUGUUAUAUCAGUCAAUCCCUGUCAAUUGUAAUGUUUUGUUUUGGGAUUAAAGUAUCAACAGUAGAAUCCUCUCAAUGUUCAACACAAGCAGACAACUGAUUGUGUGUAUGUUUGGGUCAGUGGAGUCUCCUUAGAGGGGAAAGGGGAGGAACAUCCUCCUCACUGAAUUUAAUUUAUUGCGACCGGGGCCCACUGGUGUAACUGCUAAACUGCUUUCUGACUGUAUACCGUGCUGUGUGAUUGGUAGCGGGUUUACUAACGCGUUAGUUCUAGUAGCUAUGUUGACUAUGCUGUGACAACGAUGUAGGCUGUGUGUAGCAGUUAUAGCAGUCAUGUUAUGAGGGUUUGGCUUGGAAAGUGUUUAUUUGCCUGGUCACAGACAGCUGAUGUGUUGUGCACUGAAGUCCACAAGCGACCGGGAGGUCCAUGGGGCGACGCACAAUUGGCCUAGCGUCGUCCGGGUUAGGGAGGGCUUGGUCGGUAGGGAUGUCCUUGUCUCAUCGCGCACCAGCGACUCCUGUGGCGGUCCGGGCGCAGUGCGCGCAAACCAAGGUUGCCAGGUGCACGGUGUUUCCUCCGGCACAUUGGUGCGGCUGGCUUCCGGGUUGGAUGCGUGCUGUGUUUAGAAGCAGUGAGGCUUGGUUGGGUUGUGUAUCGGAGGACGCAUGACUUUCAACCUUCGUCUCUCCCGAGCUCGUACGGGAGUUGUAGCGAUGAGACAAGAUAGUAGCUACUACAACAAUUGGACACCACGAAAUUGGGGAGAAAAAGGGGUAAAAUAAAUCAAUAAAAAGUUGUGAGAAGGAAUUAUAAAUACAACGAGCAAAGUGAUCGUGCUGUUUUGAAAAGUGAACUGUGUAUUCAUUCCGCUGAGUCUGUUAAAAAACUUUUCUUCAACGGAAGCAAACGGAACGGGAUAAAAUACAUUCUACUAAAGUAAAUAUUAGGCUACUUAUUCAUAUAGCAUGCAUGACUUUUCAAACUCAAUGAAAGACCUACAUCUACAUGGUUUUGAGUAAAGCCAAUUUGACAAGAGUCAAAUUACUGCACCUGUACAUAGCCCACCUAUAAUUUAGCCCAAACAACUACCUCUUUCCCUACUGUAUUUAAUUUAUUUAUUUUGCUCCUUUUCACCCCAUUAUUUUUAUUUCUACUUUGCACAUUCUUCCAUUGCAAAUCUACCAUUCCAGUGUUUUACUUGCUAUAUUGUAUUUACUUUGCCACCAUGGCCUUUUUUUGCCUUUACCUCCCUUAUCUCACCUCAUUUGCUCACAUCGUAUAUAGACUUGUUUCUACUGUAUUAUUGACUGUAUGUUUGUUUUACUCCAUGUGUAACUCUGUGUCGUUGUAUGUGUCGAACUGCUUUGCUUUAUCUUGGCCAGGU